GAAGGUUUUUGGAUCGUAAACCCCUUUUGUCAAGGAAGAAGCUCUGACGGUACUUGACGAAUAAGCCUCGGCUAACUCCGUGCCAGCAGCCGCGGUAAUACGGAGGAGGCAAGCGUUAUCCGGAAUGAUUGGGCGUAAAGCGUCUGUAGGUGGCCAGCUAAGUCUGCUGUUAAAGAUCACAGCUCAACUGUGGGAAGNCAGUGGAAACUGGCAAGCUAGAGGUUGGUAGGGGUAAAGGGAAUUCCCGGUGUAGCGGUGAAAUGCGUAGAUAUCGGGAAGAACACCGGUGGCGAAAGCGCUUUACUGGGCCAGACCUGACACUGAAGGACGAAAGCUAGGGGAGCGAAAGGGAUUAGAUACCCCUGUAGUCA
rnacentral:rRNA from 1 species